GGCAGUGUGGUGUAGUGGUAAGGUGCAAGGCUGGUAACUGAAAGGUUGCUGGUUUGAUUCCGGGCACUGUUG